AUUAAUUUUUAGGUACAUUGAAUAAUAUCUCCUUUUUCAGUUAUCUAUUGUAUAGUUUGAGUUUCAGCUGUUUCAUUGUGUUUCAAACAGUUAUUUUAUGUACUCAGUUGAGUAAACACUCGUACUUACAAAAGUAAAAUUACAUAGUCGCGACUAAGUUAUAAAAGAAUUAAUAAUUCGACAAAUGUAUUAUAAGUUCUCAAAAUACUAGAAACGUGAUAGGAAUUAUUUAUUAUGCGACACUGGAGAAUUAUAAAGAUAUAUUCAUUGAAUUUGUUAGGUACACGUUGAUAUGGGGUGAUGCUAGUUUAUAGAAUUAAAUACGAAAACACAGUAAUUACCAUAGACGUUUGUGUUUGUCAGGACAGGUAGGCCGCUGACAUUUGACAACAGAAUAUUAUUGUUCUGCAGCUGUCUAGGGACCGGAGUUUCCGCGUUGACAAUACACCGCGAUCUUCUACGUAUUAUCCACUAAAAAACCGCCACCACCUCCGUCGUAAUGGUACGGCCAUAGUGAAACGAAUAUUCAUUUUACUAUGCAUUUGCGCUCAGUUAUUCAGCCGCUUGUCAUAUCGAUGCCAAGUGUUUUGGGUCGGUUAUUGCUCUGUCGCCACAAUUGUUAAAUUGAGCUGCUCGUCGGUUGGAUAAAUGUUACGGUGUUAUUUCCCGUAUUAGUUUCUCAGUAUUCAUCACCUCCAAACGGCAGUGGGGAAGGAGUUUAAACUAUAAUUUAUAAUAGUGAUAAACUUAUAUACGACUUUGAAAAAGGAUACAAAAUUAUGGUUAAAGCCCUCAAAAAUCAAAUAGAAAGAAAUUUAGAAUUUGAUUAGAUAAGGUGCAAAGGUCGACAAAUUAACUUUCCUCAAGAAUUAUUUUAGAUUAUAGAGAUGAGGAAAUUUAUUAAAAUAUAUAUCCAUUUAAAGAUCCUACUGAAAUUCCUGCAACAGUAGUCAGUUUCCCACCACUUCAGAAUGUCAAUUCCCUAUACCAUUCACUGAACAUUUAAGUGUUGUAAAAAAAAGAAAAUUGAAUGUUAUCACAACAGAAGUGUCAACUAUGUCAUGUUUAACUCCAAUUUCUAUUACAAAUUCUCCUGCCCAACUCAACAAAUCCCGCUCUAGUAAAAAUGAUCAUAAACGUUAAGUGUCAGAAUUAUGUUUUAUUUCUAGUCAGUCUGGUAUAAUUAAAUUGAAGGAUACAAUGUUUUUCAUUAAACAUCAUCUUAUGAAUGAUGCUAAUAAUAAAACUUGUUUUUAAUCAAGAAAUGAAACAAGAAUUUCCAAUAAAAAAUGAAGAAAGCUUCAAACGUGUUGAAAAAGAAAAUUGCAAAUCUCAAGUAUUAUCACAAGCUGGUAAAUAAUGUUAAUAUUUUUUAUUUUUACUGAAUUUAAUGAUUAACCAUUCUGCAAAUAUAUAAUGAAACUUUUAUAGGUAUCUACAAUUUCAUUCAGUCUUCAUGGUAGUUCCAACUACCAUGAGAUUAAUGUUUAUAGAUAAUUUUAUUUUGGGUUACAGCUGAAAAGGACAAAAAAAAAAAAAAAAAAAGUCUAGAAGAUAGAACUAUUCAUAGAGUAAUAAUUGGUAAUAAUGUGUAUUACCAAAUAAUAAUGUACACAAAUACCUAUGUGUUUUAAUAUAAUUUUCUACACGGCAUUCCAAAUUUAAUGUUUCAUUAUUAUGUUAUUUUUUUUAUCAAUAUUAAUUUUACAAAAGUUUAUAAUUAUUGAAUUUAUACAAUUGCAGAUUUCAACUAUUUUUUAUAUUAUUAUAUACAAAAAUAGUUAACUUAUUUUUAAAUGUUUUUACAUUUAUAAUGUAAUUUAUAAAUCUAUUUUAAAAUAAGUUUAAUAUAUUUUAUAAAAAAUGUUUUAUGUUAUAUCUUGUAUGCUGCAAUACAAACCAAGUCCCCCAUUUCAACUAAAGCACAAAGUAUACAAUACAUAAGACCACGAAUGGCCAAAGUGAUGCCAGAAUAAAAAGAAAUUCAGUAAAGCUAUUUUUAAAUAAUAGUAAUUCAAAUGACAUAAUGCUGUACCUAAAUGGGGCAACGUUGGCCCUAUAUAAUUUAUAUCCCACUAGAAGGGCAGUCUGCAGUUUUGUUACCAAAUUAAUACAGACUCUCAAUUAACAACAAUAACGAGUAUUUAUUUCUAUUUAAUAUUAUUUAAAAUAUAAUCUGACUGAAUCUCCAGGGAUGCUGGUGGUAUCCAAGUUAGGUGAGUGAUGGCGACGAGUGUUCACAAACCCUUUAAUAAUAUUAAUAGUAUUUAUUUUAGUAUUCAUAAUAAUACUAUGUGAGUUAAGUUAUCAGAUCAAUAAAGAUAAGUUGCCGCAAGCUUGAUAAAAUGUCUACUGUCUUCGUUAUGUUUUUAAUUAAUUCAAGAAGAUUGUAAAGGAGAUAUGGUUUAUUUACACCUGUCGGCUGCAUACUCACAGUUUGUGCUGAUGAGUAUGAUGUUGAGGUUGUAACGAAAACAGUCAGUAUAAGAAAGCCCACGAAUGCCUGUGUGCGCAUAGAAAAGGAGAAGAAAUAAUUACAAAACAAUUAAUAACACGACGUAAAAAUAUCUUUAAUGUUUUAUUCAGUAAAACAACAAUAAGUCACUCAUGCACAACGGUCGGCGAAAUACUACUACUGCUACUAAAUAAGUACACAUGGGUAACAGUCGUUUGACAAUCAUAGAUAAGUGCCAUAUGUUUCUCUCAGCCGCACAAUGCGUUACCAAUCUAUAUAGAAGUGUAUUGUGAUCUAAAUCAUAAGUGUGUGGUAAUCUAUGUUUUGUUUCCACUACGCUGUGGGUCGCAGGUUCGUACUGUGCCAGCCGACAAUGCCCAGCAGCCGUGUCAAAACACAGUUAAGUUACUAGUUACCUCAAAUAGUACUAAUAACUUUUAACCUAAGUUAUGUUAUCUAAUGAAAUAUUUUGCUGUAUAUAUAAUAGGUAAUUGUUUUCUCAAGGAAGAAUAAAUUCCAUCAUAAAAAUUACAAUAAGAGAAUCUAUUUUUUACAGUUUUAUAAUACCAAUAUCACUAUGACGUUAAAUCCGCCACUAAUCACAAUUACUGAACAUUAAUUUAUUAAAAAUAAAACCAAAGUUACUUAUUAAGGUAUCUAGUUAAAACGUUAAACUAAUUUAACUUUCAAAUUUUUAACGUGAUAGUGCCACAAAAAAAGUUAAAUAAAAACUUUUAUAAAAUGUGCAUGAAUAUCGUGUUGUAUAAUAAAAUUAAAAACUUAAACGUAAAUUUUUUAUUUUGACCAGAUUAUAACCGGUCAAAAUUUCUUUCGUUAAUUAACUAAAAUUUUGACCAGUCAAUUGACAUCGUGCCAAUUCUACUCCUCAAAAUACUCAACUUCAAACUUUAUAGUUUGAUUUAGUAAAAUAAUAAUAUUUCCGAUAAAUAAAUAUAACUCGUUUUUCUUCUUUAAUAACAACAAAUUUUGCGUAUGAAUAAUUGCUCAUUGUAUAUGACUUUUUCGAUACUUGGCACUUCUUUCAGAUAAGACUUGAAAAGUGAAUUGAGUGCAACUAAAAACUGAAAGUCUAAACCCGAAAAGUAUUAUGAACAUUUUCUAAGCUUUUUAUAUACCAUUUUAGCUAUAAUUCAUAUGCGAUUAGCGUCAUAAACGCUAUUAUUAACUAAUUAAUUAAUUGUAUUAAUUAUUACAUAUUUAUGAUU